AGAGCGAACGCUGGCGGCAGGCCUAAUACAUGCAAGUCGAACGGACCCUUCGGGGUUAGUGGCGGACGGGUGAGUAACACGUGGGAACGUGCCCUUUGGUUCGGAACAACUCAGGGAAACUUGAGCUAAUACCGAAUGUGCCCUUCGGGGGAAAGAUUUAUCGCCAUUGGAGCGGCCCGCGUCUGAUUAGCUAGUUGGUGAGGUAAAGGCUCACCAAGGCUACGAUCAGUAGCUGGUCUGAGAGGAUGAUCAGCCACACUGGGACUGAGACACGGCCCAGACUCCUACGGGAGGCAGCAGUAGGGAAUCUUGCGCAAUGGGCGAAAGCCUGACGCAGCCAUGCCGCGUGAAUGAUGAAGGUCUUAGGAUUGUAAAAUUCUUUCAGUCGGGGACGAUAAUGACGGUACCCGCAGAAGAAGCCCGCUAACUUCGCGCCAGCAGCCGC
rnacentral:rRNA from 1 species